AGUGAACGCUGGCGGUAGGCCUAACACAUGCAAGUCGAACGGCAGCACAGUAAGAGCUUGCUCUUACGGGUGGCGAGUGGCGGACGGGUGAGGAAUGCAUCGGAAUCUACUUUUUCGUGGGGGAUAACGUAGGGAAACUUACGCUAAUACCGCAUACGACCUACGGGUGAAAGCAGGGGAUCUUCGGACCUUGCGCGAUUGAACGAGCCGAUGUCGGAUUAGCUAGUUGGCGGGGUAAAGGCCCACCAAGGCGACGAUCCGUAGCUGGUCUGAGAGGAUGAUCAGCCACACUGGAACUGAGACACGGUCCAGACUCCUACGGGAGGCAGCAGUGGGGAAUAUUGGACAAUGGGCGCAAGCCUGAUCCAGCCAUACCGCGUGGGUGAAGAAGGCCUUCGGGUUGUAAAGCCCUUUUGUUGGGAAAGAAAAGCAGCAGGUUAAUACCCCGCUGUUCUGACGGUACCCAAAGAAUAAGCACCGGCUAACUUCGUG
rnacentral:rRNA from 1 species